CUCUGUGACUCCUACGGGAGGCAGCAGUGGGGAAUAUUGCACAAUGGGCGCAAGCCUGAUGCAGCCAUGCCGCGUGUAUGAAGAAGGCCUUCGGGUUGUAAAGUACUUUCAGCAGUGAGGAAGGUGGUAGUGUUAAUAGCACUAUCAUUUGACGUUAGCUGCAGAAGAAGCACCGGCUAACUCCGUGCCAGCAGCCGCGGUAAUACGGAGGGUGCGAGCGUUAAUCGGAAUUACUGGGCGUAAAGCGCAUGCAGGUGGUUUGUUAAGUCAGAUGUGAAAGCCCGGGGCUCAACCUCGGAAUUGCAUUUGAAACUGGCAGACUAGAGUACUGUAGAGGGGGUAGAAUUUCAGGUGUAGCGGUGAAAUGCGUAGAGAUCUGAAGGAAUACCGGUGGCGAAGGCGGCCCCCUGGACAGAUACUGACACUCAGAUGCGAAAGCGUGGGGAGCAAACAGGAUUAGAUACCCUGGUAG
rnacentral:rRNA from 1 species